AUCAAUGAGGGUGAGAGUCCUGUUUGUCAUGUGCAGCCUUCUGUGCACGGUGUAUAUUUGCUGAGUCACACUCCUUGGCAUUGGAAUGCAAAGUGGGUGGUAAGUUUCAUGCAAAGGUAAAUAUGCAAUUGAGACUGAUAGCGCACAAGUACCAUGAGGGACAUAUGAAAAGGACUUUGAAAAGAGAAUUAAAUGAGUUUGUAUUUGCUAAACACAAAGUAAACAGACUUGAUUUCCUCAGUGAGAUUGUAGUGCUUGCUUAACAAUGGGUUUUGGCUGCAAGUGCAAUAAUUCUUGCUUUGUGUGCCAGUUUUUAUGUGGACAUUUGAUUACCUUUGCACAUGAAUGGUAAUUUUCCUGCGGGGUGUGGAUUGCAUAUGCAUGUAAUGAUUUGCAUGUUUGUUAAAUGUGUCUGGUGUAUUUGUUUGUGUCCUUGUCCUUGAGGUUGCUUUCUCCCUUGGGCUUACAUGCCCUGGCACACACAUUCUGGCAAAAUGCUUCUGCUUGACCCGUCUUGAAACACGGACCAAGGAGUCUAACAGAUGUGCAAGUUUGAAGGUGGUAUACCUGUGUGUGUAAUGAAAGUAUUGGCUGGGAUAUUUGCACCAGCAGCCGACUAAUUAGCAGACAGAGGUUUGAGUUGGAGCAUAUCUAUUAGGACCCGAAAGAUGGUGAACUAUGCUUGAACAGAAAGAAUUCAGAGGAAACUCUGAUGGAGGUUCGUAUCGAUACUGACGUGCAAAUCGUUCGUCAUAUUUGGGUAUAGGGGCGAAAGACUAAUCGAACCAUCUAGUAGCUGGUUCCCUCCGAAGUUUCCCUCAGGAUAGCUGGAGUUGCACAGUUUUAUCAGGUAAAGCGAAUGAUUAGAGGAAUUGGGGACAGAUGUGUCCUUGACCUAUUCUCAAACUUUAAAUGGGUAAUAUGUAGUGGUUGCUUGAUGGAACUUCUAAAAUGAAUGGCAAUAUUAGGUGGGCCAUUUUUGGUAAGCAGAACUGGCGAUGAGGGAUGAACCUAAUGCUGGGUUAAGGUGCUUAA
rnacentral:rRNA from 1 species